AAGGACUGUGCUCCCAAUCCGCUUACGCUCAAGGAAGAACUGGAAGGCCCAGAACCAGCCUGCUGUCAGGAUCAGAACAAAAGAGGAGGACUGCAUAUGUAUGGACCCACUCCAGAUGGCACGGGGACGGGGGGAGUAGGAAAAGUGGCAUGAGACCAGGCCCACAGAGUAUGGCUGUGCAAGUUGUUCACUCUACAAGGGCACCUGGCCGAGCUAAUCAAAUCCUGUGAGUUCUUUAAAGACCCAGCACCAUUGCCUCCUCUGCCAGGGAGUCCCUCGGAUUGCUCCAGCCUCUUUGACCACUUUCCUUUGCCUUUCCACUUCCUUGAGAGAUGAGGAAAUGGAGGCACAGACUGAUUAGAAAACCAGCUCAAGGUCAUGUUGCUGGCCGGCUAUUGUGUCUGAGUCCCUGCCAGACUUUGGGCUCUCUAAACCUCCGGCUGCCAGCACAGGCCAGGGAGUGAAUCCGGGGCUGGGUCUCUGGCCCUGAGCUCUGCUUCA
rnacentral:lncRNA from 10 species